ACAAAACAAGAACAAGAGCAGCAUUUGUCAAAGAGAGCUGCCAUUCCUCUGCAGCAGGAGCACUUUCCAUUCUCUUUUUCUUCAGGGAUUUGAUUUUGUGUAGACGUGGGAAGAGUAUGCAAACGAGUUGAUCAAGAGCAUUGAAGAAAAUAAUGGUCUAGGCAGACAUACCGGAGGGCCUGAUGAUCAGAAAGAGGACCUUACCAGCAAGAGAAUGAUUGGAGUGGGUGAAGAGCGAGAUGGCCUAUAUUUCUACAAACAAGCAGCCAUGAAUAACUCUAUUUCUGGUACUACUGUUAC